ensembl:lncRNA
CUGACAGAUAUGGAUCCUAAAUGAGAUCUCUUCUUCAGAACAGGCCUGGCAGCACUCAACCUAAUCCUUACCUUCUGCUUCCAGUGCUUUAUAUUCCACAUUCAUUUGGCUGAUGUGAACUAGGAUCAAAUGAAAGGAUUUGGAUGUGUUCAGCUUGGCCCCCUUUUCAGGUUCAAAACAAUGUGAGAAGCUAUGGGAACCAGCUAUGAGGCUGAUAGACAUAAAAACAUCUAAGUCUGAGGCAUCUGACUCUUCACCGGCAGUGGACUAUAAGCCAAAGGCAGCAAACAAAAGAGGCAGGGAUGAAGUUGGUCAGCUGUUGUUAGUCCUCACAGAAAAGUGUGGCAUGAGGAAAGGCUUGCAGCCAUCCUACUUCAAAGAAUUUAUCUGGCAAUAAGAGAAAUCCUUUUCUGUUGCACCUUCUCCCGAACAACCAUGUGAUGGCUCACAAUACCCAUUACACAAGCCCACAGGAGGAGAAAAGCAUCCCACAGACCAUGAAUUCUUCUUAUAAAGACUAAAUGGAACCUAUCACAAAAAUGAAUAUCCUGAUCCACUGACAGAAUAAUAAUAAUAAUAAUAAUAAUAAUAAUAAAAACAGUGAUGGACAAAAUGAUUUCAAUUUGCUUGAAAGAUUUUGCUCAGUAUUUGUUGUCGUUUGUUCUGCUUUUAAAAACAUUUUAGUUAAAUAUGAAGUAACGUUUGACUUGGCUAUUCUUAAAAUAUUAUUAGUUUGUUUGGUAUGAAACAUUCAUGGCUAGAAAAGUUGGCCCAUCUCUUACCAGUUUGCUUAUGCAUUUAUUUUAUUUCACCAUACUAUCUCCAUCCCUCAGAUCCAGCAGAUCUUUAAGAAAUUGUGCACAGAGUCCUGGAUUCCAUGUAAAGGAAUGGAAAAAAACUUUUCUUAGUUCUGUCCCAUAGCUUUGGAUCUCAGGUAUCCUUAAGAGUAAUAUGUGGUGUUUCUUUUUUACCCAGCUCCUGUGAAGGGGGUUGACUGGGGCGUAUGUCUAACUUCUUGGCUUAAAAAUGGGUUGUUGGGCAGAUGUCCAAGCAUCCACUGGUGACUGCCUGUAGCUUUGUGAGUGACUGCAUGUAAGUUGGGCUCUGGUAACUCAUCUCUUUCCACAAAGGUUACCAGGUAGAGCACAGUUCCUCAUGGAGGUGGUAAUUUGCUUGACUGUCCCACCUUUGGUUUUCUUUGGGUAGAAAGCACAAAGUCCUAUACUACUUCCUACAGCCAGCUCAGAUUUCUCACGUUUUUUGUUCUUAAGGAUGAAGUCUCCUUGGUCAGUGCUAUAGGUAAUUUAGAGUUCAAUUUGUCUAAAAGUUAGAUGCCUUAUUCCUUAUUACUCCCUCAUUUGUCUGACAUCAUCUAGGAAAGGGCAAAACCAACAACAGCCGUAAGCUUGGAAGUAGCUCAGAGCUUUAUUUCUAAACAAUUUCAAGAGUCUCCUUCAUGAUCUUGAGUAUGUAAUUACAGUCCAAGUCUAUCCAAUCUAUAAAAUAAUGAACAUUUCCUUUGUAAAGGCACUUCCAGCUAUUAAUGCUACUUUCUGGUAGCUAAGAAUUUCAAAUAUAUAAUAACUGUUGAAUACUUCUAUAUAUGGAGAAGAGAGAGUGGAGGGAAGAGAAAGUCUACUAGGUUAAAAACAAAUGCAGGCAUUAAUUUAAUAGACCUUGUUCUAAGCAAAGCAAAAUUUGUGUUUUCUCAGUUUCUUGACACUGAAAUGCUGUUGUUUUCCUGAUAAAGUAGUCAGGAUCCACAGCUCUUGCCCAAACUUUGCAGGUCACUGGUUUCCAAAAAUAGACAAAAAUAAUUAUAGAUAACUUUAUAACACAGAAUUUAAUCUUAUAACUAUUAAUAACUACCUUAAAUUUGUGAUUAUCUGAACAUGUCCUAAAUAAAAUAAAAUUAUAAUUGUUUCAGUUUGAAAGAAAAAAAGCAGUCUCUAAAUAUCAGGUAAAUUCAUCCAAAACCCUGCCCCAUUCUUUCCUUUGUUCUUGAAUCCACCACCAUACCAGACAUUCUUGGAUAAUACCUGUACAGCUAUGGAAAUGGGGAGAACCAUUUUUUCAGCAUCUUUGUGGAACUGCAGGGCAAAGCUUGUGACUGAAAUAGUAACCCUUAAAGAGCUAGUGCAAGUGUGAGGGCCCUUAUACCAGGCAUGAUUUGAAAGAGGUGCCACGUAAAAAAUAAUUUUCUGAAUUCUGCACUGGCCUUAUCUCUGGGGUAAGCCUAUGGUUUAGCCCCAUAAAAUUGCUGUCCUAGUAGUCUAGGUCAGAGAUCUCAUGGCAUUAAUGGCAGAAGCUAUAAGAUUUCCUCGUGAAAGACCUCAAGGAGAUCUUUAACAAAUUGGUAAGAUCUGCUCCUGAAAAGUGGAAUUCUGGAUUACAUGAAAUAGAGUGAAAAACAGAGAUGGCUAAACUGCACUUUUCUGUCCAAAUAGCAGCUGUGAGUACAAUAUGACUCUAAAGACUUGCUCCCACACUUCUCUCUAAAGUCACCCUACAGUUUUGCAUAUCUUUUCUGGCUAUUUUCUUAAGCAAUAAUACGUUUUUAUUUUCUAGACUGAGUCACAGCCAGAUGAGUCUUAUAUUUACUUUAAACUUUCUCCGGCAUCCAUAUGACUACUGAAGAUGGUCAGAUCAGAUAAUGAAGAGCAGCAGUCUUUAUCCUUCUCAGCGAGCAGAGCUUAAAUCUUUUUCCAGUGAAGCUGUAGAUGGCAGCAUAUCAACUUUAUGCUUCUUGAGAAUUAUCUUGUUAACUUCACAUUUCCAGAAAAGGGCCGUGAACUCUCAGGGAUUUUUGGACUGCAGAUUCAAAGCCAUUGUUUUAGAAAUACAGCCUGAGUUUCUUGCAAGAUCAUCGAACAGCCGUGUGGCAGAGGACUCACUGGAACGUGGGACUGAUGCCAAUCCCUUGCACAAGAUGCUGAUAACCAGUGUCUCUUUCCUUGGAGCCAUUCAUGAAUCUUCUCUGUGUUACUCUUUUCUACAUUCUGCCUGUCAGAAAAAAACUCCCCAGUCUACUGAUACUAAAGAUGAGGAUUCACUGGCAUCAAG